rnacentral:rRNA from 1 species
AAAACUCUAAGCGGUGGAUCACUCGGCUCAUGGGUCGAUGAAGAACGCAGCAAACUGUGCGUCAUCGUGUGAACUGCAGGACACAUGAACAUCGACAUUUUGAACGCAUAUCGCAGUCCAUGCUGUUAUGUACUUUAAUUAAUUUUAUAGUGCUGCUUGGACUACAUAUGGUUGAGGGUUGUAAGACUAUGCUAAUUAAGUUGCUUAUAAAUUUUUAUAAGCAUAUGGUAUAUUAUUGGAUAAAUAUAAUAAUUUUUAUUCAUAAUAUUAAAAAAUAAAUGAAAAACAUUAUCUCACAUUUGAAUGUGAAAAACGAAGAGAAAUAUUUUCUUUUUCAAUCAAAUAAUACUGAGAAAUGUCUAGCAUAAAAAAUUGAAAUAUUUUUCAUCUAGAAUUGUCUCUUAUUAAUGAUUCGGAAAUAGAAAAAUCUUGGUUAUGUUAUUAUUCUUCGUUGGUUCGUUAAAAAUGGAUAAAUAAAAACUUUGCAUACAAGAAUUAAUAAAAAUGUUAUAACGAAUUUAAUUAAAUGUUUUAUCAUUAUAUAUAAAGAAUUUAUGGCAAGAUAAAGUUAUAUACAACCUCAACUCAUAUGGGACUACCCCCUGAAUUUAAGCAUAUUAAUUAGGGGAGGAAAAGAAACUAACAAGGAUUUUCUUAGUAGCGGCGAGCGAAAAGAAAACAGUUCAGCACUAAGUCACUUUGUCUAUAUGGCAAAUGUGAGAUGCAGUGUAUGGAGCGUCAAUAUUCUAGUAUGAGAAAUUAACGAUUUAAGUCCUUCUUAAAUGAGGCCAUUUACCCAUAGAGGGUGCCAGGCCCGUAUAACGUUAAUGAUUACUAGAUGAUGUUUCCAAAGAGUCGUGUUGCUUGAUAGUGCAGCACUAAGUGGGUGGUAAACUCCAUCUAAAACUAAAUAUAACCAUGAGACCGAUAGUAAACAAGUACCGUGAGGGAAAGUUGAAAAGAACUCUGAAUAGAGAGUUAAACAGUACGUGAAACUGCUUAGAGGUUAAGCCCGAUGAACCUGAAUAUCCGUUAUGGAAAAUUCAUCAUUAAAAUUGUAAUAUUUAAAUAAUAUUAUGAGAAUAGUGUGCAUUUUUUCCAUAUAAGGACAUUGUAAUCUAUUAGCAUAUACCAAAUUUAUCAUAAAAUAUAACUUAUAGUUUAUUCCAAUUAAAUUGCUUGCAUUUUAACACAGAAUAAAUGUUAUUAAUUUGAUAAAGUGCUGAUAGAUUUAUAUGAUUACAGUGCGUUAAUUUUUCGGAAUUAUAUAAUGGCAUAAUUAUCAUUGAUUUUUGUGUUUAUUAUAUGCACUUGUAUGAUUAACAAUGCGAAAGAUUCAGGAUACCUUCGGGACCCGUCUUGAAACACGGACCAAGGAGUCUAACAUAUGUGCAAGUUAUUGGGAUAUAAACCUAAUAGCGUAAUUAACUUGACUAAUAAUGGGAUUAGUUUUUUAGCUAUUUAUAGCUAAUUAACACAAUCCCGGGGCGUUCUAUAUAGUUAUGUAUAAUGUAUAUUUAUAUUAUUUAUGCCUCUAACUGGAACGUACCUUGAGCAUAUAUGCUGUGACCCGAAAGAUGGUGAACUAUACUUGAUCAGGUUGAAGUCAGGGGAAACCCUGAUGGAAGACCGAAACAGUUCUGACGUGCAAAUCGAUUGUCAGAAUUGAGUAUAGGGGCGAAAGACCAAUCGAACCAUCUAGUAGCUGGUUCCUUCCGAAGUUUCCCUCAGGAUAGCUGGUGCAUUUUAAUAUUAUAUAAAAUAAUCUUAUCUGGUAAAGCGAAUGAUUAGAGGCCUUAGGGUCGAAACGAUCUUAACCUAUUCUCAAACUUUAAAUGGGUAAGAACCUUAACUUUCUUGAUAUGAAGUUCAAGGUUAUGAUAUAAUGUGCCCAGUGGGCCACUUUUGGUAAGCAGAACUGGCGCUGUGGGAUGAACCAAACGUAAUGUUACGGUGCCCAAAUUAACAACUCAUGCAGAUACCAUGAAAGGCGUUGGUUGCUUAAAACAGCAGGACGGUGAUCAUGGAAGUCGAAAUCCGCUAAGGAGUGUGUAACAACUCACCUGCCGAAGCAACUAGCCCUUAAAAUGGAUGGCGCUUAAGUUGUAUACCUAUACAUUACCGCUAAAGUAGAUGAUUUAUAUUACUUGUGAUAUAAAUUUUGAAACUUUAGUGAGUAGGAAGGUACAAUGGUAUGCGUAGAAGUGUUUGGCGUAAGCCUGCAUGGAGCUGCCAUUGGUACAGAUCUUGGUGGUAGUAGCAAAUAAUCGAAUGAGACCUUGGAGGACUGAAGUGGAGAAGGGUUUCGUGUGAACAGUGGUUGAUCACGAGUUAGUCGGUCCUAAGUUCAAGGCGAAAGCCGAAAAAUUUUCAAGUAAAACAAAAAUGCCUAACUAUAUAAACAAAGCGAAUUAUAAUACACUUGAAUAAUUUUGAACGAAAGGGAAUACGGUUCCAAUUCCGUAACCUGUUGAGUAUCCGUUUGUUAUUAAAUAUGGGCCUCGUGCUCAUCCUGGCAACAGGAACGACCAUAAAGAAGCCGUCGAGAGAUAUCGGAAGAGUUUUCUUUUCUGUUUUAUAGCCGUACUACCAUGGAAGUCUUUCGCAGAGAGAUAUGGUAGAUGGGCUAGAAGAGCAUGACAUAUACUGUUGUGUCGAUAUUUUCUCCUCGGACCUUGAAAAUUUAUGGUGGGGACACGCAAACUUCUCAACAGGCCGUACCAAUAUCCGCAGCUGGUCUCCAAGGUGAAGAGUCUCUAGUCGAUAGAAUAAUGUAGGUAAGGGAAGUCGGCAAAUUAGAUCCGUAACUUCGGGAUAAGGAUUGGCUCUGAAGAUUGAGAUAGUCGGGCUUGAUUGGGAAACAAUAACAUGGUUUAUGUGCUCGUUCUGGGUAAAUAGAGUUUCUAGCAUUUAUGUUAGUUACUUGUUCCCCGGAUAGUUUAGUUACGUAGCCAAUUGUGGAACUUUCUUGCUAAAAUUUUUAAGAAUACUAUUUGGGUUAAACCAAUUAGUUCUUAUUAAUUAUAACGAUUAUCAAUUAACAAUCAAUUCAGAACUGGCACGGACUUGGGGAAUCCGACUGUCUAAUUAAAACAAAGCAUUGUGAUGGCCCUAGCGGGUGUUGACACAAUGUGAUUUCUGCCCAGUGCUCUGAAUGUCAAAGUGAAGAAAUUCAAGUAAGCGCGGGUCAACGGCGGGAGUAACUAUGACUCUCUUAAGGUAGCCAAAUGCCUCGUCAUCUAAUUAGUGACGCGCAUGAAUGGAUUAACGAGAUUCCUACUGUCCCUAUCUACUAUCUAGCGAAACCACAGCCAAGGGAACGGGCUUGGAAUAAUUAGCGGGGAAAGAAGACCCUUUUGAGCUUGACUCUAAUCUGGCAGUGUAAGGAGACAUAAGAGGUGUAGAAUAAGUGGGAGAUAUUAGACCUCGGUUUGGUAUCGUCAAUGAAAUACCACUACUCUUAUUGUUUCCUUACUUACUUGAUUAAAUGGAACGUGUAUCAUUUCCUAGCCAUUAUACGGAUAUAUUUAUUAUAUCUUAUGGUAUUGGGUUUUGAUGCAAGCUUCUUGAUCAAAGUAUCACGAGUUUGUUAUAUAAUCGCAAACAAAUUCUUUAAUAAAACGAUGCAUUUAUGUAUUUUUGAUUUGAAAAUUUGGUAUAACUCCAAUUACUCAGGUAUGAUCCAAUUCAAGGACAUUGCCAGGUAGGGAGUUUGACUGGGGCGGUACAUCUCUCAAAUAAUAACGGAGGUGUCCCAAGGCCAGCUCAGUGCGGACAGAAACCACACAUAGAGCAAAAGGGCAAAUGCUGACUUGAUCUCGGUGUUCAGUACACACAGGGACAGCAAAAGCUCGGCCUAUCGAUCCUUUUGGUUUAAAGAGUUUUUA